CGCCGCGUGAGUGAAGAAGGUUUUCGGAUCGUAAAACUCUGUUGUUAGGGAAGAACAAGUGCCGUUCGAAUAGGGCGGCACCUUGACGGUACCUAACCAGAAAGCCACGGCUAACUACGUGCCAGCAGCCGCGGUAAUACGUAGGUGGCAAGCGUUGUCCGGAAUUAUUGGGCGUAAAGCGCGCGCAGGUGGUUUCUUAAGUCUGAUGUGAAAGCCCACGGCUCAACCGUGGAGGGUCAUUGGAAACUGGGGAACUUGAGUGCAGAAGAGGAAAGUGGAAUUCCAAGUGUAGCGGUGAAAUGCGUAGAUAUUUGGAGGAACACCAGUGGCGAAGGCGACUUUCUGGUCUGUAACUGACACUGAGGCGCGAAAGCGUGGGGAGCAAACAGGAUUA
rnacentral:rRNA from 1 species